rnacentral:rRNA from 1 species
UGGGGGCAACCCUGACGAAGCAAUGCCGCGUGAAUGAAGAAGGCCUUCGGGUUGUAAAGUUCUUUCGUGGAGGACGAAAAGGUGGGUGCUAAUAUCGCCUGCUGUUGACGUGAAUCCAAGAAGAAGCACCGGCUAACUCCGUGCCAGCAGCCGCGGUAAUACGGGGGGUGCAAGCGUUAAUCGGAAUCACUGGGCGUAAAGGGUGCGUAGGCGGUGCAUUAGGUCUGUCGUGAAAUCCCCGGGCUCAACCUGGGAAUGGCGGUGGAAACCGGUGUACUAGAGUAUGGGAGAGGGUGGUGGAAUUCCAGGUGUAGCGGUGAAAUGCGUAGAGAUCUGGAGGAACAUCAGUGGCGAAGGCGGCCACCUGGCCCAAUACUGACGCUGAGGCACGAAAGCGUGGGGAGCAAACAGGAUUAGAUACCCUGGUAGUCCACGCCCUAAACGAUGAAUACUAGAUGUUUGGUGCCAAGCGUACUGAGUGUCGUAGCUAACGCGAUAAGUAUUCCGCCUGGGAAGUACGGCCGCAAGGUUAAAACUCAAAUGAAUUGACGG